GCUCAGGAUGAACGCUGGCGGCGUGCCUAAUACAUGCAAGUCGAGCGAACAGACAAGGAGCUUGCUCCUUUGACGUUAGCGGCGGACGGGUGAGUAACACGUGGGUAACCUACCUAUAAGACUGGGAUAACUUCGGGAAACCGGAGCUAAUACCGGAUAAUAUUUCGAACCGCAUGGUUCGAUAGUGAAAGAUGGUUUUGCUAUCACUUAUAGAUGGACCCGCGCCGUAUUAGCUAGUUGGUAAGGUAACGGCUUACCAAGGCGACGAUACGUAGCCGACCUGAGAGGGUGAUCGGCCACACUGGAACUGAGACACGGUCCAGACUCCUACGGGAGGCAGCAGUAGGGAAUCUUCCGCAAUGGGCGAAAGCCUGACGGAGCAACGCCGCGUGAGUGAUGAAGGUCUUCGGAUCGUAAAACUCUGUUAUUAGGGAAGAACAUACGUGUAAGUAACUAUGCACGUCUUGACGGUACCUAAUCAGAAAGCCACGGCUAACUACGUGCCAGCAGCCGCGGUAAUACGUAGGUGGCAAGCGUUAUCCGGAAUUAUUGGGCGUAAAGCGCGCGUAGGCGGUUUUUUAAGUCUGAUGUGAAAGCCCACGGCUCAACCGUGGAGGGUCAUUGGAAACUGGAAAACUUGAGUGCAGAAGAGGAAAGUGGAAUUCCAUGUGUAGCGGUGAAAUGCGCAGAGAUAUGGAGGAACACCAGUGGCGAAGGCGACUUUCUGGUCUGUAACUGACGCUGAUGUGCGAAAGCGUGGGGAUCAAACAGGAUUAGAUACCCUGGUAGUCCACGCCGUAAACGAUGAGUGCUAAGUGUUAGGGGGUUUCCGCCCCUUAGUGCUGCAGCUAACGCAUUAAGCACUCCGCCUGGGGAGUACGACCGCAAGGUUGAAACUCAAAGGAAUUGACGGGGACCCGCACAAGCGGUGGAGCAUGUGGUUUAAUUCGAAGCAACGCGAAGAACCUUACCAAAUCUUGACAUCCUUUGACAACUCUAGAGAUAGAGCCUUCCCCUUCGGGGGACAAAGUGACAGGUGGUGCAUGGUUGUCGUCAGCUCGUGUCGUGAGAUGUUGGGUUAAGUCCCGCAACGAGCGCAACCCUUAAGCUUAGUUGCCAUCAUUAAGUUGGGCACUCUAAGUUGACUGCCGGUGACAAACCGGAGGAAGGUGGGGAUGACGUCAAAUCAUCAUGCCCCUUAUGAUUUGGGCUACACACGUGCUACAAUGGACAAUACAAAGGGCAGCGAAACCGCGAGGUCAAGCAAAUCCCAUAAAGUUGUUCUCAGUUCGGAUUGUAGUCUGCAACUCGACUACAUGAAGCUGGAAUCGCUAGUAAUCGUAGAUCAGCAUGCUACGGUGAAUACGUUCCCGGGUCUUGUACACACCGCCCGUCACACCACGAGAGUUUGUAACACCCGAAGCCGGUGGAGUAACCAUUUGGAGCUAGCCGUCGAAGGUGGGACAAAUGAUUGGGGUGAAGUCGUAACAAGGUAGCCGUAUCGGAAGGUGCGGCUGG
rnacentral:rRNA from 1 species